CCAAUAGCGUAUAUUAAAGUUGUUGCAGUUAAAAAGCUCGUAGUUGAAUUUCGGGAUCAAUAUGUUGGUCGUGCCUUUGGUACGUACUGGUAUUAUUGGUUUCUCCUUUCUGAUGAAUCAUGAUGUCAUUAAUUUGGUGUCAUGGGGAAUCAGGACUGUUACUUUGAAAAAAUUAGAGUGUUUAAAGCAGGCUUACGCUUGAAUACAUUAGCAUGGAAUAAUGAAAUAGGACGUUUAAUUCUAUUUUGUUGGUUUCUAGGAUUGACGUAAUGAUUAAUAGGGAUAGUUGGGGGCAUUAGUAUUCAAUUGUCAGAGGUGAAAUUCUUGGAUUUAUUGAAGACUAACUACUGCGAAAGCAUUUGCCAAGGUAUGUUUUACAUUAAUCAAGAACGAAAGUUAGGGGAUCGAAGACGAUCAGAUACCGUCGUAGUCUUAACCAUAAACUAUGCCGACUAGGGAUCGGAUGAUGUAAUUAUGACUCAUUCGGCGCCUUACGGGAAA
rnacentral:rRNA from 1 species